AUCAACUUUCGAUGGUAGGAUAGAGGCCUACCAUGGUGGUAACGGGUAACGGGGUGUUAGGGCACGACACCGGAGAGGGAGCCUGAGAAACGGCUACCACAUCCAAGGAUGGCAGCAGGCGCGCAAAUUACCCAAUCCCGACACGGGGAGGUAGUGACAAUAAAUAACAAUACGGGGUUCUUUAGGAUCUCGUAAUUGGAAUGAGUACAAUUUAAAUCUCUUAACGAGGAACAAUUGGAGGGCAAGUCUGGUGCCAGCGGCCGCGGUAAUUCCAGCUCCAAUAGCGUAUAUUAAAGUUGUUGCAGUUAAAAAGCUCGUAGUUGAAUUUCGGGGUUAGUAGGUUGGUCAUGCCUCUGGUAUGUACUGGUCUCACUGAUUCCUCCUUCCUGAUGAGCCGUAAUGCCAUUAAUUUGGUGUUGCGGGGAAUUUGGACUGUUACUUUGAAAAAAUUAGAGUGUUUAAAGCAAGCUAACGCUUGAAUACAUUAGCAUGGAAUAAUGAAAUAGGACGUUCGAUCCUAUUUUGUUGGUUUCUAGGAUUGACGUAAUGAUUAAUAGGGAUAGUUGGGGGCAUUAGUAUUCAAUUGUCAGAGGUGAAAUUCUUGGAUUUAUUGAAGACUAACUACUGCGAAAGCAUUUGCCAAGGAUGUUUUCAUUAAUCAAGAACGAAAGUUAGGGGAUCGAAGACGAUCAGAUACCGUCGUAGUCUUAACCAUAAACUAUGCCGACUAGGGAUCGGAUGAUGUUAAUUUUUUAAUGACUCAUUCGGCGCCUUACGGGAAACCAAAGUGUUUGGGUUC
rnacentral:rRNA from 1 species